UGCAGUCUCCAUCGCUGUCGCUGCCACAACCACAGGAAGUGAGCCACAGAGCCACGCCAUCUACAGGCUCCAACCUCCAGCUCACCACAGCCCAGGUAUGCAGAGGAGGUCCCAGCAAGUGGCCACGCCAGCUGCUGCCCUUCUCCCCUGGCCAUUGACACAUCUGGUUCACCUCAGCAUCCCUAGGUGUUAUGAGGAGGGCAGAGUGUAGCCAGCCCUGGCCUGGGAAUGCACCAACACGGGGUCCCUGCUGUGGUCAUGGACAUGUUCACCCAUGUGGACAUCUUCAAAGACCUGCUGGACGCCGGCUUCAAGAGGAAAGCAGCUUUGUACAUCAUCGUGGACGAGAGUAAAGUCAAGUACGUUCUGCAUAUGUGUGAGCGGACCCGCAUGCACCUGGGGCACCUCAAGGCAUCCUCUGAAGAUCUUGAAAUGUAUCCCCUAUGGAUAAAGGAGGACUACUAUAUUCUCAAUGGAUUUUGCAAGAAGAAAAUUAAUCAUUCACAAAAUAUUUUAACCUUAGAAUUUAAAUAAAUGUGUAUAUUCUCUACAAGUUAAACACAAAUAUUGUAAUAACCUAUGGCCACUUUUUCUUAUUUUUAUGCCAUUUGAGUAAUGACUGGUAUUGAUUUGCUGAGGUUCAAAUUUCGAAUUCUAGUUUUUCUUAAACAUGACUUAUAUUAAUAAGAA